rnacentral:rRNA from 1 species
AACGAACGCUGGCGGCAGGCUUAACACAUGCAAGUCGAGCGGAGAUGAGGUGCUUGCACCUUAUCUUAGCGGCGGACGGGUGAGUAAUGCUUAGGAAUCUGCCUAUUAGUGGGGGACAACAUUCCGAAAGGAAUGCUAAUACCGCAUACGUCCUACGGGAGAAAGCAGGGGAUCUUCGGACCUUGCGCUAAUAGAUGAGCCUAAGUCGGAUUAGCUAGUUGGUGGGGUAAAAGCCUACCAAGGCGACGAUCUGUAGCGGGUCUGAGAGGAUGAUCCGCCACACUGGGACUGCGACACGGCCCAGACUCCGACGGGAGGCAGCAGUGGGGAAGAUUGGACAAUGGGGGGAACCCUGAUCCAGCCAUGCCGCGUGUGUGAAGAAGGCCUUAUGGUUGUAAAGCACUUUAAGCGAGGAGGAGGCUACUGAGACUAAUACUCUUGGAUAGUGGACGUUACUCGCAGAAUAAGCACCGGCUAACUCUGUGCCAGCCGCCGCGGUAACAC